GUCCGCCAUUUUGUUUGGUCUCCGCUGCCAGUUCCCAGAGGAACCCUCUCUUCUGGCCACACGCCCGCUUGAUGGUCACAGGCCUCCAUCAGCGGCUUCUCCAUCCCUCUCUGGCAAGCUGAAGUACGUGACGACUUCCCUGGCCCUCUAGGGUUCUCAGGCCGUCAGGUGUGGGUCUCUGUGAAUCUGGCACCUGACAGCUGAGACAAACGAAAAAGACGCUCCGCUCGCUGAUUCCUGGGCCGCGCGGGGUCACGGGGCGCUGCCGCUUUCCUGGAAUCUCCUCAGGAUUCAGGCACACCCUGUGCUCUCAGGUUCACUAAACCCGUCUGGGGGUUCUACACACGACCUGAAGGCAUCUCCGCCCUUUGGCGGCAGAUAGAGGAAUAGAAACGACUGAGGAGACAUGAAGCAGGGAGGAAAAGCUGGAUGAGAGGAAGCACAGGGAGUGGAAGGCAACGUCCAGGAGACACGGCUCCUGAUGCCCUUUCGUCUCGGUGGGCUCUCUGUGGCGAACCGUUGUCUGCUUGAGAGGAAAAGGGAAGUCAUAUUUGGUGCCAUCCUCUGGACUCCAGAUGUUUUUGUGCCUGGCCAUAAUUAUAUAUAUAUGAGCAUAUAUAUAUAUAUAUAUUGUUUUUGGAGACAGAAUCUCACUCUGCGCCCAGGCUGGAGUGAAGUGGCGCCAUCUCGGCUCACUGCAAGCCCCGCCUUCCGGCUUCCCGCCAUUCUCCUGCCUCAGCCUCGCGAGUAGCUGGGACUACAGGCGCCGCCACCACGCUUGGCUGUCAAAUUAGCUAUUUUUAAGAAUUGUACAUGGCGAUCAUCAGCAGUAUGAAGAGGAGCUGUGGGGCCAGUGAGAGAAGCUGCAGCCUGUUGAGACUCCACAAGACUGAAGAUAUGAAAAGAGGAAAUCUGCAUGAAUGCCCGCAUGGAGAACCACCCCCACCUGCUGCUCCCGCUCUAAUGAUCACGCCCAUUAUCAACUGAGGGAUGGCUCUGUGCCUUGUCCUUGCAUUACAUGGACCAAGAACACUUCACAGGACUCAGAGAGGCAAAAGUAGAUACAAAAGAAGAAGGAAUUACAGAAGAAGUCACAUAACAUUAUUGCCUACAACUGACUGUUUACCUUGAAUACUUGAAGAACAGAAUGAAGAUUCUUGGGGUGAAGAAUUACAGCCUUAGCAUGGAGCAGGCCUCGGUGCAUCGGCUUUCAGCUAGGCAUGCCUGCCAAUGUUCUCACUGCAUCAGCUUUCAGCUAGGCAUGCCUGCCAAUGUUCAACGUCCCCCUGGGAUACGGAAGGCACCGUGAUAGACAUCUGGGCAAGUCAACAGGAAGGUGGAUAUCCAAAUCUCUCUCUUCGCAAUGAGUUUCCAGUUAGAUGGAGGAGAGAGUAAUAAAACACAGAGCUGAGAUUCCUGACUUCACAGAUCCCUGAGGAGAUGUUUACUAAAGGGAAUCUUCUGGUCACUGUUACCUUCCUCCGUACUUACCUGCCUCAUGGAUAACACUGAAGAAUGCAGUUUACUUACAUCUUUUUCCGUUUGACAGAAGACAGUUGUUAGAACCCGAAAGGAAGAAGCCUAUACGACUGGGGACACAUGUCUUAGAAGCACACCCAUGAGGUAAAGUGUCGCAUACUCUUUGAUAAGGUAAGGCUCCCUGGACGAGAUGUUCUACAGGUACCAUGAGCUCAGUGAAAUGCUUUUGGAAAGACACUCAGCGGAGUGGGCACCACGAGGUUAGGAGAAGCAGCUUCUGCUCGUCAUAACUUUGGCAAAUGUUUACACAUCAGUAAUGAAAAAUAUUCUCUUGGCGAUUUCAGGCUUGUUACUAUGGAUGUUGUUUGCUAACAUUGACUAUUUUUCCUAACUGCUUAUAGAAACUCCAGGCUGUCACCCAUCUGUUCUCUCAUCAAAGUAGUUUUGGGCCAGCAACUAUUUCAGACAUUUCUACAGUUUCAGAUGUCUCACUCUGCCUAUGACUCUAUGUUGUACUUGAGGACUGGACGCACAGAGUAAAGUGCAAAUAGCAAGCAUUCAGGUCCAACUCUCUUCCUUCUGGUUAACAAUAUGAAAGAAAGAGGUAGUAUCGGAAUUAUUUUAGUUCAAUGUAGGCAUUAUAAAAUGUGUAUAUAUUUUAAAACAUCAUGUGGUACAUGAUAAAUAUAUACAACUUUUAUUUUUCAAUAAAAAAUUAUUAAAAAAGUCAUCGAACCUGAUUUCUCAUACUACUUUUUUGGUAACACUCAUCACACCAAAGACUUAUUAUUUUAAAAUGUUAUUUUUCAUAAUUAAUUUCUUAUUAAUUUUAUAGGCUAGAUUUUAAUUGUUAUGUCUAAAUAGUAGUGUCUGGUACGUGGUAGAUAAUCAAUGUGACUUGAAUAAAUGAAUAAGUCUGUUAACGACAUACUUCUCAUCACUGUAACUUAUUUUUGGUUUAGGACUGAUAAAACAUUUUUUCUCUCACCCCAUAUUGCUAAAGAUCAAAUCCUUCUUCUUUAAGAUGCUACCAUUGUUCCAUUCAUCAACGCCAAAUCAUUCCUCGGGCCUGAGAGGAGCUGCCAUCCUUCACUUCGUCUUUGGGUCACUUCCAACCUCUGUUCUCUGUGUGUCUCUUCUGGACUUCCUGGGAGAAUAGCCUCUCUCAUGAUACUCACUUUCUUCCACAUCUUCAAUCUCUGCUUCAUUGAUAGAUUAUGCUACUCAAUAUAGAAACAACAUCUUUUAUUUUUUAAUGAUAAACAUUCUCCCCCUCAAUCUUUUAACCUACUAAUGCAGGCAAUCUAAUCUAAAGAAUAGCCUGCAAUGCCUCCUUUCAUCAUUUCCCAUUUAAUCCAGCUUUCUGGCUGAGUAAUUUUGCAGAAAGCCCUUUAUCCCGUGUCACAGAUGGAACUUUGCAGUGGCCUAUUCUGAUGAACAUGUGGCAGUUUACAUGCUAUUUGCAUUUGAAGCUGUUUAUCACUCCCUCCUUCUGAGUACUUUCUUCUUGGUGGGCUUUUAUGAUAGUAAUUGCUAUCCUACUGCUGAGUUUCUGAGCACUGCUUGUCAGACACUUUAUUAUGCUCCCUUUCCUUUGCCCAUACUUGCAAAGUUAGAUUUCCACAUAUGCCUUUCCCGUCUUCUUAUUCCAUGAGAUUUAUCUAAGUGAUUUCAUCCAUUGCUAUGGGUUCAACUACCGCUAAUAUGUUCUUUACUCCCAGCUCUCUUUUUACAGCUUCACAUAUUUAACUGCCUUUCAGGGAAUCACCAAAAGGCAAUUCCAUCUUAAUAUACGCAAAACUGAACUUAUGAUCCUUAAGUAUGAGGCCAGUUCUUUCUUAUGCAUUUUCUAAAUCAGUGAGUGAUACCAUCUCUUGUCCUGUUGUCCUGGCAGAAUUGCAGGAGGUGACUGCUUUCUCUACCCUCCCUAUAAAAAUUACCAUCUCUCAUUUACCAACCUCCCAAUACCCCAAUCAUUAGUAUCUUUUUAAGAAAUGAUUUUCUGUUGUUUAACAUUUUUUAUAUGCUAUUACCUAUAUGGUUUUCCUCCUGAAAUGGGAUAUUGGGUAAGAGGGUACCAGAUGGAGGUCACAUAGACCUACAGUUUAUUCAAAGGGGACAUCUAUGGAGCAAAGGCAAAAUGGAGAACCCAGUGCAGCCAAACAGCUACUCAAAGGUCUGAGCGGAGAUACAGAAAUGACACAGGAGAUAACAGAAAGAGAGAGACAUAUCAAGUGGGUUUUGAGUGUAGGCAAAACGACAUUUACCCGUAGCUCUGGAGAACCCACCAGCACUGUUUUGAGACUGUUGCAGCCUGCAAGGGAGGGCGGACACUGAGUUCAGACACGCACACCCUCCGACCAGCUCCCAAAUGUCUGCUGAUGUUUACAACUUUGCUUCCUGCUUUCCUACCUGGUCUUAGCCUUUUGAUACACACCCUCCCACUGCUAUCAGAGUAAGAUUUGAGCUAAGUACAUAAUCUGGCCCUGCCAGAUUAUGACAUUAGAAGGAGAAUAGAUAGGUCAAUGGAACCUGAGAUACAUUUUAGAAAAAUAUUAAUAUGUAUGCCAUAUGUAUAGUGUGCAGCUGGCAUUUUAAACACGUGGAGAAUGAUGAAAAAUUUAAUAAACCAUGAGAGGAAAUUGGAUAACUAUUUCCGAUACACACACACAUCAGAUUCCCUUUUUUAUGUCACAUGCAAAACUAAAAUAAUAUUUGAAUGGCUUAAUCAGUGAAAUAUUUUUCUAAAUUAACUAACAUACUGGAAAAUAUUUGACUUAAACCAAAUAUGUAUUUUUAUUGUAUAGGGUUUUUUCUUUUUUAAAAAAUUUCAGCUUGCAAUUUAGAUAUAGGAGGUACAUGGGCAGAUUUGUUACAAUGGACUAUUGCAUGAUGCUGUGGUUUGAAGUACGGUUCCCAUCACCCUGGUAGUGAGCAUAGUUCCUGAUAGGUAGUCUUUUUUAACCUAACCUCCGUCCCUCCCUCCCUCCACCGUCUAGUAGUCCACAGUGUCUAUUGUGUCUCAUAUUUAUGUCCAUACGUGCUCAAUGCUUAGCUUCCAUUUAUAAGUGAGAAUAUGUGGUAUUUGGUUUUCUGUUUCUGCAUUCAUUUGCUUAGAUCACCCCAGCUCCAUCUAUAUUCCUGCAAAGAAUAUGAUUUUAUUCUUUUUUAUGGCACAUAGUAUUUCAUGGUGUAUAUGUACCACAUUUUCUUUGUCCAAUUUCCUACUGAUGGUCGCCUGUGUGGAUUCCAUGUCUUUGCUAUUGUGAAUAGUGAUGCAGUGGACAUCUGAGUGUAAAUGUGUUUUUGGCAGAAUGAUUUAUUUUCUUUUGAGUGUAUACCCAGUAAUGGAAUUGCUGGGUCAAAUGGUAGCUUUGUUUUAAGUUUUGAGAAAUCUCCAGACUGCUUCCUCAGUGGAUUGGUCUAAUUUACAUUCCCACUAACAGCGUAUAAGCUUUCCCUUUUCUCUGCAAUGUUGCCAGCAUCUGUUUUUUUGACUUUUUAUAAUAGCCAUUCUGACUGGUAUGAGAUGGUAUCUCAUUGUGGUUUUGAUUUGGAUUUCUCUGAUGAUUAGCGAUGCUGAGCCUUUUUUCACAUAUUUGAUGUAUGUCUUCUUUGAUAAAUGUCUGUUCAUGUCUUUGCCCAUCUUUUAAUGGGGUUAAUUGGGUUUUGUUUGUUCAACUGUUUAAGUUCCCUAUAGAUUCUGGAUAUUAGGCCUUUGUCAGGUGCAUACUUUGCGAAUAUCUCCUCCCAUUCCCUAGACUGUCUGUUUACUGUGCUGAUUUUUACUCUCUGUUUAUUUUGCUAUGUAAAAGUUCUGGAGUUUAAUUAGGUCCCACUUGUCCCAUUUUUGUUUUUGUUGCAAGUGCUUUUGGGGACUUAGCUAAAAAUUAUUUGCCAAGGCUGAUGUCCAGAAGAAUGUUUCCUAGGUUGCCUUCCAGAAUUUUUAUAGUUUGAGGUCUUACAUUUAAAUCUUUAAUGUAUUUUCAGUUAAUUUUUGUAUGAGGUGAAACGGAGGGGUCCAGUUUCAUUCUGCUACAUAUGGCUAGCCAGUUAUCCCAGCUGUGUUUAUUGAAUAGGGAGUUCUUUCCCAUUGCUUGUUUUUGUUGGCCUUGUCAAAGAUCAGAUGGUUGUUGGUAUGUAGCUUUAUUUGUUUGUUUUCUAUUCUUUUGCAUUGGUCUAUGUGUCUGUUUCUGUAACAGCACCAUGCUGUUUUGGUUACUGUGGCUUUAUAGUAUAGUAUGAGGUUGGAAAGAGUGAUGCCUCUGGCAUUGUUCUUUUUGCUUAGGCUUUCUUUGGCUGUUCAGGCUCUUUUUGGUUCAAUACAAAUUUUAGAGUAGUUUUCUAAUUUUAGUAAAUUUUCUAAAGUAAAUGUUCUAAUUCUGUGAAGAAUGACGUUGGUAAUUUGAUAGGUAUGGCAUUGAAUCUGUAAAGUGCUUUGAGCAAUACGGCCAUUUUUACAAUAGUGGUUUUGGUACUGAAACACCAGGUGCUCAGUCUAGGUCCUGCUGCUUGCUGCACAGAAAGCCAAUGACUGAGACAGCAAGUAUUGCCAAGGAAGAAGCUUUAAUCCGGUGCUGCAGCAGAGGAGGUGGGAACUCAGUCUCAAAUCCAUCUCUCUGACCUACUAAAACCAGGGAUUUAUAUAACAAGGAAGGAAUGUAACAUUGUGUAAGAAAACAGGAACUAGGGAGGUGUCAGGAAGCAAUCGCGAUGAAUGAGGGGUCCAACAUCUCAUUGUCUGGAUGUGAUGAUCUACUGAGUUUCAGUUCUUUGACACUUUUUGUGAGAGGCCUGAAGGUCAUUUCCUCAGGAAGGAACUCAGAUAAAACAAAUAUAAGUUUCAAGCUUUAAGACCAGAAGGGUCAAUUUCUAUGUUUAUUAAAAAGAAAAAAACUGUUAGACUGGGCGUGGUGGCUCAUGCCUGUAAUCCCAGCACUUUGGGAGGCUGAGGCGGGCAGAUCACGAGGUCAAGAGAUCGAGACCAUCCUGGCCAACAUGGUGAAGCAUCAUGUCUACUAAAAAUACAAAAAUUAGCCAGGCAUGGUGGCACACGCCUGUAAUCCCAGCUACUUGGGAGGCUGAGGCAGGAGAAUUGCUUGAACCUGGGAGGCGGAGGGUGCAGUGAACUGAGAUUGCACCACUGCACUCCAGCCUGGUGACAGAGCGAUACUCCAUCUCAAAAACAAAAACCAAAAACCAAAAAAAACAAA